GGAUACUUCAGAAAUUUGCAUUCUCAUCUUAUCAUACUCUUGGUCAAAAAUCAUAUCAAGAAUUACUUAGAAAAUUGGCUUUAAUUCCUAAGUAAUUCAAGAUCACUUGGAGGCUCUCAUUUAUCAUUCAUCCUUACAGGUGUUUUGUGUUAUCACAUUGCAGAAUGCUUUUACCUGGAGGACAACAUCCAUUCAGCUUGGGUGGAGAUUCAAGGAAAAAUUGGAGCUUUUCAUUCUAGCCUUGGCGAAACCUUGCUUGGUGGACUCUCAUGGGAUUUUCAAGUUUCUUCACAAUAGCCGCACUUGCCCUUAAGAUCACCAUUCUCAUCAAUAAUUUUGGCAAAGUGAUCCCACUCCAUUGAAGAAAGCUUCAGAAGUUUCAUUUCUGCCAGUAUAAAUUGAGGUUGGAGUUGUGAACUAGACCCGUCAUUAUUGUCAUCAAGAGUUU
rnacentral:misc_RNA from 1 species